UGUAGGAGCGAGCCUGCUCGCGAUAGCGGUGGGUCAGUCAACAUCAAUGUUGGAUGUGACUCAGCCAUCGCGAGCAGGCUCGCUCCUACA
rnacentral:antisense_RNA from 1 species